rnacentral:rRNA from 1 species
GACGAACGCUGGCGGCGUGCUUAACACAUGCAAGUCGAACGAAGUGGCGAACGGGUGAGUAACGCGUAAUCAACCUGCCCUUCAGAGGGGGACAACAGUUGGAAACGACUGCUAAUACCGCAUACUGAAGGAGGGGAUUGCGUCUGAUUAGCUAGUUGGAAGGGUAACGGCCCACCAAGGCGAGGAUUAGUAGGCGGUCUGAGGGGAGGAACGGCCACAGUGGGACUGGGACACUGCCCAGACUCCUACGGGAGGCAGCAGUGGGGAAUCUUCCGGAAUGGACGAAAGUCUGACGGGGCAACGCCGCGGGAGUGAUGACGGCCUUCGGGUUGUAAAGCUCUGUUAAUCGGGACGCGGUACCGGAAUAGAAAGCCACGGCUAACUACGUGCCAGCAGCCGCGGUAAUUC